rnacentral:lncRNA from 1 species
GUUGAUUACCUUUGUUUAGCUAUCACUUGGCUGGUAGUUGGUAAUCAUUCCUUUUAAGACUAUUACCUUUGUUAAGCUAUCACUUGGCUGAUAGUUAGGUAAUAUUCAUAUCCCAUUGAAGUUGGGGUUUUCCCCUGUUGAUGGUUUCUUUUCCCCGAUGAGGUCUUGUUUUUAUAAGUCUUUCCACGUUGGAUCUUUAGUUUGUUUGUUUUCUAAUUGUGCAUUGGUUAUUCUCGAGUCUUUUUCUUUUCCCCUGUGGAACUUUG